rnacentral:rRNA from 1 species
UACGUAGGUGGCGAGCGUUGUCCGGAAUUACUGGGUGUAAAGGGCGUGUAGGCGGGAAGGCAAGUCAGAUGUGAAAUACCGUGGCUUAACCACGGGGCUGCAUCUGAAACUGUUUUUCUUGAGUGUCGGAGAGGAAAGUGGAAUUCCCAGUGUAGCGGUGAAAUGCGUAGAUAUUGGGAGGAACACCAGUGGCGAAGGCGACUUUCUGGACGAUAACUGACGCUGAGGCGCGAAAGCGUGGGGAGCAAACAGG